UGGCGUGCGGAUAGUAAUACUGCUCAGUACGAGAGGAACCGCAAAUUCAGAAAUUUGGUUCAUGCACUCAGCCGAGCGGCCGGUGGUGCGAAGCUACCAUCCGCGGGAUUAGGCCUGAACGCCUCUAAGGCCGAAGCCAGCCUAGCCGAAUCCGGCAAAGAUAUGCUUACUGUGGAGCCCCGAGGGUCGGGAGGCUCUAAGCAAUGUGACUUUACUAGUGGCGUUUCGCAUUCAAAACGCGAGACGCGACGUCGAAGCCCAUUUGGAUCGCGGAGAUCGAUACUAUCGGUUUUUUUCUUAACACGUGCAUCACGGCUCCGAAGGUCCGGAUAUAACUCAGUUCGAUGUCGGGGCUCGGAAUAGUCUGUAGACGACUUCCGUUCCUGGUGGGGUGUUGAGCUCGGUAGAGCAGCGUCGUGCUGCGAUCUGUUGAGACUCAGCCCUGCGCCAGGUGAUUC
rfam:Bombyx mori DNA, contig: Bm_scaf35_contig21360, strain: p50T/Dazao, build 2, whole genome shotgun sequence.